GGGCCAGAUUGGAUUUGACAGCGGGUCGGAAUGGUAUGUAAGCACGCAGUGCGCCUGAAAGUGGGCACUAUAAUCUCGGCUUUCAGCAAUUUAACUGGCGAAAACAAGUUUGCUCUCGCUGCCUAAUCGAAGCACAGUAGAUUGAGGCUUAAUUCCGGCACAAGGUGCUGGAACGAGACAUCACCCAAGAGCUCUUGCUCCGAAGCGUCUUGAUCAGGUGGUGCAGAUAAAUCGGGGAUAGCCUUGGCCGGCCUUGCAGUCAAGGUGAAAUUUUAAAGGAUAAGGUUUGGGUUGGUGGCGUUGGUCUUGCCCAAACACGAAAAUCAAGUCAACGAUAAGCGUGUAGAAAGCAUGUUGUUUCCCUGUUUGGACGAGGGUUCGAGCCCCUCCUGGUCCACAG
rfam:Prevotella sp. CAG:891 genomic scaffold, scf407